CAUGAUGAACUCAUCACAAAAGUGACGAAAGACUGAGGAAGUGGAACCGAAACGACAGCGUUUUGAGGUAUUCCCUAAGCUGGCGCGCUCUCUCAGAUCAAAACCAUGUUUCCAAAACAAGCUUGUGAGAUUUCAGUGAUUUGCCCUUUAAAAUUGGUUGAAACCCAUGCACAGAUUUGCCACUAUUUCCUUUUCCUCAGCACAUUUGACACAUGGCACUUACACAACAGGAGGUUGAUAUGCUUUGAGAUGGUGAAUUGAGCAAGUGGAAAGUUGUCUUGUCAAGAAGCUGUUGAUGCUCUGUCAAGAUCCAUGAGACAAUUUUUUGCAGCCAGGCACCAACCCAUUUUAGAUGCAAAAUAAACUAUGCCUGGAGCAGUGAUGGCUCAGCUAUGGCUGGACUCGGUUCCUACCAGAGUUCCAAACGUCCUCCUCAUCCCCAUAUCACUGUCACUAUCGUCACCAUCAUCACCACCACCACCACCGCCUUGUUGGAACAAAGGACGUCAAAAGCCAUGCCUUACAAAGUCAGCAACCUGUCCCCCGUCAUGAUACCACCAAGAACUCCCACUUUAGAUUUGGUUAACAGGGUCUCUUCCACCUCAAAUUAGCAGAUGUUGCUGCCUCCUGUUUCCCAUGUACAAGUACAAUGUGCCUCUACUCUGAUAUAUUUGUUGAAUUUUUUUAA